rnacentral:rRNA from 1 species
AAUGGGACCUAUAUCAUCAGCCGUACGUGCCAGCCGUAUUGAAUUUGGGCAGUGAACAGACAACACGCCCUCCUCUUCCCGCGCUGAAGAGCGUCCAUCAUUGUAAAUUUUAGUUUUAAUUGAAGAACAAUCUUGAGAGUGGAAAGUUCACACUUUGACGUCUCUUUCCAGAAGGGGACGCUUACUUACGUGCCAGCAGCCGCGGUAAUACGUAGGUCCCGAGCGUUAUCCGGAUUUAUUGGGCGUAAAGCGAGCGCAGGCGGUUAGAUAAGUCUGAAGUUAAAGGCUGUGGCUUAACCAUAGUACGCUUUGGAAACUGUUUAACUUGAGUGCAAGAGGGGAGAGUGGAAUUCCAUGUGUAGCGGUGAAAUGCGUAGAUAUAUGGAGGAACACCGGUGGCGAAAGCGGCUCUCUGGCUUGUAACUGACGCUGAGGCUCGAAAGCGUGGGGAGCAAACAGG